CCUACGGGUGGCAGCAGUGGGGAAUAUUGGGCAAUGGGCGCAAGCCUGACCCAGCAACGCCGCGUGAAGGAAGAAGGCUUUCGGGUUGUAAACUUCUUUUGACAGGGAAGAGUAGAAGACGGUACCUGUCGAAUACGCCACGGCUAACUACGUGCCAGCAGCCGCGGUAAUACGUAGGUGGCAAGCGUUGUCCGGCUUUACUGGGGGUAAGGGCGUGGAGCCGGGUUGACAAGUCAGAUGUGAAACCCUGCGGCUUAACCGCAGAACUGCAUUUGAAACUGUUUAUCUUGAGUACUGGACAGGCCGACGGAAUUCCUAGGGUAGCGGUGAAAUGCGUAGAUAGUAGGAGGAACAACAGUGGCGAAGGCGGUCUGCUGGACAGCAACUGACGGUGAGGCGCGAAAGCGUGGGGAGCAAACAGGAUUAGAUACCCUUGUAGUC
rnacentral:rRNA from 1 species